ensembl:lncRNA
GACUCCUCACGUCUACCCCGGGCCAAGGAGACAGAAGCUCCUCUGGGGACUAAUGUACACAUGUUGUGACCCAGAGAGAGGUUCUCCUCUACAUAGCUGACCCAGAGAGAGGUUCUCCUCUACGGAGCUGACCCAGAGAGGGGAGGUUCUCCUCUACGGAGCUGACCCAGAGAGAGGUUCUCCUCUACAGAGCUGACCCAGAGAGAGGUUCUCCUCUACAGAGCUGACCCAGAGAGGGGAGGUUCUCCUCUACAGAGCUGACCCAGAGAGAGGUUCUCCUCUACAGAGCUGACCCAGAGAGAGGUUCUCCUCUACGGAGCUGACCCAGAGAGAGGUUCUCCUCUACAGAGCUGACCCAGAGAGGGGAGGUUCUCCUCUACAGAGCUGACUCAGAGAGAGGUUCUCCUUCUCCUCUGCUACAGAGCGUCCUGUGGCCCAAACAAAAUGUCCCUAAUCUCAGCACACGGUGAUAAUGACCACGGCCACAACACAGUGAGUUCAGUCCUUAUCUUCUGAGCUGCGUGUGUGUGUGUGUGUGUGUGUGUGUGUGUGUGUGUGUGUGUGUGUGUGUGUGUGUGUGUGUGUGUGUGUGUGUGUGUGUGUGUGCGUUUGUGUGUGUGUGCGUGUGUGUGCAUGUUUGUUUGUGUGUGUGUGUGUGUGUGUGUGUGUGUGUGUGUGUGUGUGUGUGUGUGUGUGUGUGUGUGUGUGUGUGUGUGUGUGUGUGUGUGUGUGUGUGUGUGUGUGUGUGUGUGUGUGUGUGUGUGUGUGUGUGUGUGCGUGCGUGUUUGUGUGUGUGCGUGUGCCAGCACAGGUCAAACACAAUGUAAAUGUAGCGGCCAAAUACACUCAGUGUCAGUUCCUGAACACGAUGGGACGGGCGGGAGAGGGAAAACAUCCCCCCCCCCCCAACCCCCUCCCUGCCUGCAGAGAUUACAGAUGAGGAAGAAACAGGGAAGGUUUCCGGUCCACGAGGGGAGGGUUGGUAGUACGACCGCUCCCCACACUGCAGUCCAGAGAUAACACACGUUCUCUGUACCCCUGGGACCACCCCCCCCACAGCCCAAUGGCACCAGGCCUGGGGGAGGAAGAGGAAACGCAGAUGAUGAUGAUGACGAUGAGGGGCCCGGGCCGGCGGGUUACCAUGGCAGGCAGGAAGACUUCCUCUUCCUCUACUUCCUGAUUCGCAGCCUCGUUUGCUUUGCAAAGUGUAUGCGUGGUAGUGUGUUUGUACACCCCUUCUGCGUUCAGCGGGUGGUCCCGGCGGAAUGAGACGAGGUGGCUCUCUGAGCGCCGGGGGGAAGCUUUGGAAGACGCUGCUGCCUCUCAAUCUGCGUCAGAAUGCUCCCAUCGUCCCCCCCACUUCCCCAGCAGCAGCAGCCUCUGUUCUGUCUGUCCCCCAUCCCCUCUGCUCUGGAACACUGUGUCUGUGUCAAUGAGUCCUGACCUGAGCAACGCUUUCUCUGGAGGACCUGAGUGAGUCAGAGCUCCUCGUGACACAGUGUUCCACCCAGAGGACAUCGCUGAUCCUCGCUCGGUAAAAGGGACUCGAACAAACUUCACUCAAACAUAGUUUAUCAGUUUACUAACAAAUCAAAACAAAAAUGCCAUAUGGCUAGAUACGUAUCCAAGGCUUAUAAUACAUAGAUCUGUAUGCAGAGUAAAUAAUAUAUCUGUGUUCACUAGGUCCAUAAUGUGUAUAUGUGUACAUAUGCAUAUGAUUUUAAUGUGUAAGGCAUAUAAGAUCAAGUGUAUAGUAUCGGUCUAUAAUAUAGAUGUGUAUAACAGGUCUAUAACACAGAUGUGUAUAGCAUAGGUCUAUAAUACAGAUGUGUAUUCUAGGUCUAUAAUACAGAUGUGUAUAAUAGGUCUAUAAUACAGAUGUGUAUAAUAGGUCUAUAAUACAGAUGUGUAUUCUAGGUCUAUAAUACAGAUGUGUGUACAC